GAUGAACGCUGGCGGCGUGCCUAAUACAUGCAAGCCGAGCGAACAGACGAGGAGCUUGCUCCUCUGAUGUUAGCGGCGGACGGGUGAGUAACACGUGGAUAACCUACCUAUAAGACUGGGAUAACUUCGGGAAACCGGAGCUAAUACCGGAUAACAUGUUGAACCGCAUGGUUCAACAGUGAAAGACGGUCUUGCUGUCACUUAUAGAUGGAUCCGCGCCGCAUUAGCUAGUUGGUAAGGUAACGGCUUACCAAGGCAACGAUGCGUAGCCGACCUGAGAGGGUGAUCGGCCACACUGGAACUGAGACACGGUCCAGACUCCUACGGGAGGCAGCAGUAGGGAAUCUUCCGCAAUGGGCGAAAGCCUGACGGAGCAACGCCGCGUGAGUGAAGAAGGUCUUCGGAUCGUAAAACUCUGUUAUUAGGGAAGAACAAAUGUGUAAGUAACUAUGCACGUCUUGACGGUACCUAAUCAGAAAGCCACGGCUAACUACGUG
rnacentral:rRNA from 1 species